UCCUUUUGCACAUGCACACGGCACAGCAACAUUUCGCAGUUGGCAUUUUCAGCUGUUCAUUGCACCCAAAUUGUGUUUCUGCUAGAGCUAGUUUUUGCAACUUUGUGAAAAUUGUGCAAUACAGAUGGAUGGUAUGGAAUUCAUAGUGAACGUUAAUUAUAAUACAAUCACUAGCAUACGCUAAGCAACUAACUGGCUCAGUUUAAAUUAGUGAACGUGGAAGAAAUAUGGCCAGUUACCCGCAUUGCGCUGUUCGCGUUAAAGUCAAGAAAUGUGAGCCAAAUGUUCAGCCAGAGUGGCGCAAGUUUAGCGUCGACCCGCAAAUCACGUCGUUGGAAGUGCUCUACUCAUUGCUUGCUAAAGCCUUCGACAUUAAAUCGGAUUUCUCAAUCAAAUACAAAGCAUUUGAUCCAGCGGGCAAUGAAAUAUACUUAUGUGUACUGUCCGAUUGGGAUUUAGAUGCGGCUUUUCUACGUAUACAUAAUCUCUCCAUACAGACAGCAACGGAACCGUGUCUUAUGUUGCAAAUCGAUAUUAAACCAUUUACGGAGGUAAGAGAAUGGGACAUUGAAGCAGCAGCUACCACAAGCAGUGCAGUCAGUAGUGGUAGUGGCAGCGGCAAUACAAGUGUCAAUGCACUUUCUCCCAAUUUCUCAACCAAUACGGGUGCGCGCGAAGCUAUUUCGCCGCUACAGCAGUCAAUAGGGGCAUCACAAAAGUAUGUGCAAAAUAUGCAGACAAAAUUACCGGGUCUGAUAAUGAACCAUAUGGAGAAAACAUUUUCCAUCGUUCAAAAGGCAUUCAAUUUGUCCGAGGAAACAAUGGCAUCAUUGCCGCCACGACCGCCUUUGGCGGACAAUGAAUUCAGAUUGUUUUUAGAUGCGCUAGGACAAAUCAAACGUACAGAUGAGUUGCGUAAGGUUAUAUUCUUUGGGGGAAUCGAUCCAAGUUUGCGUCGGGUUGUGUGGAAACACAUUUUAAAUGUAUAUCCGCAUGGUAUGAAUGGUCACCAACGCAUGGAUUAUAUGCGGAGAAAAUCGGAACAAUACAUUAGGCUACGCGAUACGUGGAAGGAUGCAGUUAAGCAGGGUUGCAUGGCCGGCGAGCUUUCAUACGUCACCAGCAUGGUAAAGAAGGACGUUUUACGUACAGAUCGUCUGCAUCCUUUCUACGCCGGCAGCGACGACAAUCAAAAUAUUGCAUCACUUUUUAAUAUACUGACGACAUAUGCGCUCAAUCAUCCUUCUGUUAGCUAUUGUCAGGGCAUGUCGGAUAUCGCUUCUCCAUUACUAGUAACCAUGAACGAUGAAGCACAGGCUUACAUCUGUUUCUGCGCCAUAAUGUCACGAGUAAGGGGUAAUUUCAUGUUGGAUGGCAUAGCCAUGACGCAAAAAUUCGCGCAUCUAACCGAGGCGCUCAGUUUUUACGAUCCUGAAUUUUGGGAGUACUUAAAAUCACAACAGGCGGAUGAUUUGCUCUUUUGUUACCGUUGGCUAUUACUCGAAUUGAAGCGUGAAUUUCCGUUUGACGAUGCCCUGCGUAUGCUUGAAGUGCAAUGGAGUUCGUUAAAAUAUGAAACAAGUAUUGGAAAAGAACUGAACUUAUUCGAAAAGGAGUUUGUGCCUAUUUCGGAAAGCCCUGUUCCAACGACGUCCAGCUCACUUUCAAGUUCAUACGGCGCACCAAUAAGUCCCUCCUAUUUGCUGGUGAAGCAACGUGAAAAUCCUUACACCAAGGUGUGUGCACUUCGCCGCCAAAGCUCUUCUGCUUCAUUGAAUUCACUAAACUCUUCACUUAGCGCUGGUGGAGGAGUGAUAAACAGCUUGCGAUUAGAUGCAACGAAACGCCUUAAUCAGAGUUUGGACGAUAAUAUGCCACGCGCAGUGGCAUGCCGGCGACGUCACUCGUCAAAAGCUCAUCAAAGUUUAGACGAAUCCAAGAUGAUGUUGUUGAUGGAAGGUAUGGAAGAAGUAAUAAACGUCGAGUCCAAUAGUUUAACGUCCAAAACCAAGGCUGAAGAGAGUGCGGAAAAUUUCGAGGAUGACGAGGUUUUCACCAGUAACGAUAGUAGCGCCAAUAACGGUUCCAAAGAAAUUAAUCACUUCAUAUUUCAUCCAACAAAUCCGUUUAAAGAUGACGACCACAUUAAGGAAGAAAUACUUGAAUCGUACAAGUCGCCUGCCCCUUCUAAUAAAUCAUCUACAAAAGAUGGUAUGGCAGUGAAUGAUGCAGAAGAACUAAGUGAUGAAAUGGGACUGAUGGGAAAGAUUCCACAACUUCCUAAGGGGAUUGCCAAAUUGCAAAAUAAGAACAUUUUAUCGAAUUACAACAGCGUUAGCAAUAUAAUAGCUAAACAAAUUGCAAAUGCUUCCAAUGUGGGCGAGAGUGUUCGGCGUGUAAGCAGUGGCGGUGGUGGGCAUUUCAAGGACCUUAAAGAAAAAAUUGCUGCGACGAGUAGAAAAGGAUUGUCGUUCGAAGAGACAAACAUCAGUGCCACUGAAAGGUCGCAGCAAAAGUUGGUUAAAAAUUUCAAUGAAUUUUUGAAUUUCGCCUCAAUAAAUAAAAAUCGUAUUGCGGAUAAAUUUUCGACAACAUCACCGACGCUGUCAGGCAACAGUGCCACCAGCAGCAACUUUAGCAUGAACACUCACUGUAAGGAAAAAUCUAAAACACCUUCGCCCACGCAUGCCCACACACAGACAAGCGCAGCAGCUUCCGUCACAUCAGCAGCUGCAUUCACAACACCACAUCCACUUGUGCAUCUAACUCGAAGCGGUUUUGUCUCCUCCCUUGACGAAUCAGAUUCAUCGUCUGUGCCUGAUACCACAUGGAGUGGCUCCACCGCGGCGACAGCAAUACAACAAGCAAAUAAUGCCAGCAAUAAUAGUUUGCAAUCGGAGCUUGCAUCGCUUGGCUCUUCGGCGGCCCCAACACCCGACCGCACACCAACCUACGAACGCAAAGCUGACACAGCGGAAGAACGUGAACGAUAUGCAAGUUGUUUACGGGAGGAGGCGCGCACACCCAUCAAAAAGCUGCCAGCAGAACCAAGUUUAACGCCCGAUGAUAGUCAAGAUCAAGAGUAUUACCCAAUGACAACAGCCAUUACACGCGAAUUGCGCUUGGAAGCUGAUAAUUUGGACCGACAGGUAUUUGGAGAUCCUGUUGGCCUGCCGCCAUCUGUCAAUUGUGGCAUUGAGUAUGAAAAACUGGAUAAAGACUCCUUGGACUUGGUAGAGGAUCUGAAAGAAAAUGAAAUAGUUGCAUGUCCUGAUAUAAGCGAGCUCCUUAUACGCCGUCGAAGCCGAAAUAGUCGCACGAAAAGCAGCAUAGAACCUUUGCAGCAUGUGUCCACCAGCACAGCAUGGCACGAUGUAGAUGAGCUGCUUAGCGAGGCAAUUGAUAACAACUAUAAUGACGGCCAAGUAAAUGGCGUCGCUGAAAACACUGCAUUACCAGUGCAAAACAUGCUCAAUCCCUUUGUCGAUACAACCACGAAUUUGCGAAUAGAUGGCGUGACAGGUGUACUGCCCAACAGUAGUAGUUUGCCAGAAGUAUUGGUGCCGAUUUCCACAGACACCGCCAAUGCAUCGCCUGUAGAGUUGGCCACAAAUGCAGUUGAUGAAAUUUCAUUCGCUAAACCAACAGCACGAAAUGAAGAAGUGGCGGCAGCUGAUGUAAGUGCAUCCGGUGGUGGUGUCUCACUGGGGCCCACCCCGCCAGUCUUGCCGCCGCCCACAGAAUUCGGCGGUGGCAAUCCUUUUCUUGUAUUUCUCUGUUUAACAUUGCUGCUUCAACACCGUCAAACGAUUAUGAAAAAUGGCAUGGACUACAAUGAGAUUGCAAUGCAUUUCGAUAAGAUGGUGCGCAAGCACGAUGUGACGCGGGUACUCAAUCAAGCGCGUCGCAUGUAUAUCGAUUAUCUGAAAGUGCAAAAUGCCUACAAGCAACGACUACAACAGCAAGCGGCUGAGUAUGCGGCAAACAAUGAUAUAAAUAGGAAUUCAAAGGCGAAUGAUGCAGCAGUGGCGCCGAUACAGCGCACAGGACCAAGUUACUGUGGCACGCUUAGCAGCACAACAGCAAAGUCAUAGAAACGAGGGAGGAAGAGAGAUUGGACAGUUGUGCGGUGAAAGGGCACAGCUAAAAACAACUAUAAAGAGACACCAAAGAACUUUUUGAAAACUAACCCAGAUAGGCAGCCACGAAAUUGUUUUUGACAAUUAAUACUACAGGCUUUGGCGGCAAAGUUAUUCAAAGAGCUGUACUCGUAAAACGCGUAAUCCAAACGUUGAUGGCGAUUAAAAAAAAAUCGUCCUGAACAAUGAUGCACGUUUUUACCUAAACGGAUUCGUUAAUAAGAAAAACUGCACCCAUUUGAUUUGGUUUUUAGGCUGGUGGAGUCAUCGCACCGUACUUUUCCGAUAUUUAUGCCGACAACGGCCCUAUCGCGAACAUCUGCGGUCUUAUCGAAUUACUCUAUAGUUUACAUGUGAGAUUUAUUAAAAUGUUUGCUUUAUUUCCAAGCUGCAUGAACGAUUUGGCAUACGCUGAUUACUGUAAGCCCUCAGUCCCUGGCUGCAUAAAAUUUUACUUUAGACCGAUAGCGCGAGUUCUUUCCACAAUGAAACAGACGUGUAUAUUAUUUUUCUUUUCAGCCGCAUGCUAGUACCUGUGCACAACAUCAGAAACUACAUUUAGGACUGGGAGUUCUACUCGAAUUUUUGUAUAUGCGGAUACUCGAAUAUCUCAUAAAAAGGGGUAUUCCCGGAUAAGAAAAGAGAACGGAUAUUAACAAAAUAUCCCAAUCUUACACGGAUGCACAAAUAUCCGAAGGGAUAUGCGAAUAAUCCCAGCCCUUUAUGGAUGCCAAGUCAAAGGAUCUCUUUACCCAAAAACCUUCCAUGCAUAGGUACAUACAUAUUUUUUGGGUUUAAUUAAACCAAGUUCAUUAGAAAGCUCGUAUUGUAACAGUAUACAACUUUUUUUUGGGGAAUGAUGCUGGAGUGACAAUCCUUGGGCCAGAUGUAAAUCUGGGUCGUUCCGCUGGCGUAUGUAGAAAGCAGAGCAAUCUAUCCUGUUCGAUAUCCCUCUUCCAUAUCCUUGUUCUAAUUCGUCAAAGUUUCUGCGUCGUAUAAAAGAACGGGCACAAUAUGAGAUCUGUAAAUCGUGUGAAAUUGGCUUCUCAGUUCCCUUGAUAAAAAGGUAUUCCUUUGAGGAACGCACUUCGAUCAGGAGAUCUAUUUUUCCCUCUUGCUCCUUACAGCACCUUGCUCAACCCUAGCUCCCUUAGGAAAUGCAGUAGGUUGUUUGGUGUCAUCAAGUGCAUGCGAAUGCAUGGCUUCCCUCCUCUCCUCGACACCACAUAACAUUCGAAUAGCAUGGCUCAGAAGUUUCAGCUGUCCUGCUACGGAAACGAGUUUAUGUAGGUGACUUCUUAGUCUGCAAUGACCUGUUAAGAUAUCUAUUCGAAUUCUUAGUUUGUGUUUCGGGAAGUCAAUAAGCUAAUCAUAUAUUUUCCGAUUGCAUCCUUCCAAUACUACUCCGUGUAUUUUCGGGUUAUUCACCGUCGGAAUUGGUUCGCCGCCGUCGUGAAUUCCCAGCUGUAGUCUAACCUUCCUCUUAACUUGCGUUGGUUGCGCAUCUCGCACAUAUGUAAGUGUCUCUCGUUGCUCACUAAGCUGCCCAGAAAAAAAAAUUGCACCGGGGACAUCAUAAUAGGAUCAGAACUUU